CACACCAUGAAAAUGAAAUAAUGCUCCAAACAACUCAAAGAAAUGACAUUGGAAAUUACCAGGCAGGGGAUGGUUUAAGACAUGAACAUUAUGAAGUUGUUGAAUGUGCCCCAGAAUACAGAUAAAUAUUAAAAGUCCUACAAUGCUGAUCAGAAACAGUUUUAUGAGCACCGGACUGAUGCACAGAAUAAAGAAAUAGUCUGAAACACCCAGAGAAGCUCUUCCUGCUUCAUAGAUCAAGAGCCAUUCUGAGGAGGCAAAAGGUAGUAGAGAAGGACAAAACAACAGUCUGAACCAAUAAGGAGGCAGGAGGUGUGCUGCAGACUAUUUCAGACUUCAUGUUGGAGCCACAGCUUAGCUGGAGACACAGCUCACAGUUCUGCCUUCAUAAACCUGAGAGAAAACAAUCAAGCAGCAAGAAUUGGAGGACAAAAAUGAAGAGGACCCCUGUUGCAUGAUGGGAGUUGUAGUUUUGAAAUAGCUGGGAAAGAGUGGUGUAAAUACCAAACAGCAUUGUUUCUCAACCUGUGCCUCUGCCUGAAGUUUUCCAAACAUUAUAUGGGUUGUAGUUUCGCAACAGCUGGACAGCUACAGAGACACUUGAAUUAAUGUGAUCAGUGUUCUCUACAGAAUUUUUUUUUUGUUGUUGUUUGUAUUACAGG